AUUGAACGCUGGCGGCGUGCUUAACACAUGCAAGUCGAUCGGUAACAGGUGUAGCAAUACAUGCUGACGAGAGGCGGACGGGUGAGUAAUGCUUGGGAAUCUGCCUAUUAGUGGGGGACAACCCGGGAAACUCGGGCUAAUACCGCAUACGCUCUACGGAGGAAAGCCGGGGACCGCAAGGCCUGGCGCUAAUAGAUGAGCCCAAGUCGGAUUAGCUAGUUGGUAGGGUAACGGCCUACCAAGGCGACAAUCCGUAGCUGGUCUGAGAGGACGACCAGCCACACCGGAACUGAGACACGGUCCGGACUCCUACGGGAGGCAGCAGUGGGGAAUAUUGGACAAUGGGGGCAACCCUGAUCCAGCGACGCCGCGUGGGUGAAGAAGGCCUGCGGGUUGUAAAGCCCUUUCGGUGGGGAAGAAAGUCUCGACCUAAUACGUCGGGACCUUGACGUAACCACUAAGAAGCACCGGCUAACUCUGUGCCAGCAG
rnacentral:rRNA from 1 species